rnacentral:rRNA from 1 species
GAUGAACGCUGGCGGCGUGCCCAAUACAUGCAAGUCGAGCGAACGGACGAGAAGCUUGCUUCUCUGAUGUUAGCGGCGGACGGGUGAGUAACACGUGGAUAAUCUACCUAUAAGACUGGGAUAACUUCGGGAAACCGGAGCUAAUACCGGAUAAUAUUUUGAACCGCAUGGUUCAAAAGUGAAAGACGGUCUUGCUGUCACUUAUAGAUGGAUCCGCGCUGCAUUAGCUAGUUGGUAAGGUAACGGCUUACCAAGGCAACGAUGCAUAGCCGACCUGAGAGGGUGAUCGGCCACACUGGAACUGAGACACGGUCCAGACUCCUACGGGAGGCAGCAGUAGGGAAUCUUCCGCAAUGGGCGAAAGCCUGACGGAGCAACGCCGCGUGAGUGAUGAAGGUCUUCGGAUCGUAAAACUCUGUUAUUAGGGAAGAACAUAUGUGUAAGUAACUGUGCACAUCUUGACGGUACCUAAUCAGAAAGCCACGGCUAACUACGUG